rnacentral:piRNA from 1 species
UUCAAGUUAUUUUGUUACCGCUGACCG